GGAAUUCAGCAAGCUGGUGCUUUCUGUCUUCUUACUCGAAACCUCCCUGCAUCUGGUGGAUGCAGAACCUGUGGUCUUACCUUGAGAUGUCUCCCCAGUACCAUUCAGCAUCCUAUUCUAGCUGUGUUAAGCUGUGCCCAGGCAGCUCCAUCUAAAGUAACCAGGAACAUCUGAGCUGCAGAAAUAACAGGAAUUGGCUUCA